rnacentral:rRNA from 1 species
GAUGAACGCUAGCGAUAGGCUUAACACAUGCAAGUCGAGGGACCGGCGCACGGGUGCGUAACGCGUAUGCAACCUGCCUGUAAUUAGGGAAUAACCCGGUGAAAGUCGGACUAAUACCCUAUAAUUACAGAUGGGCAUGCGUCCCAUUAGCUAGUUGGUAAGGUAACGGCUUACCAAGGCGACGAUGGGUAGGGGGACUGAGAGGUUGACCCCCCACACUGGUACUGAGACACGGACCAGACUCCUACGGGAGGCAGCAGUGAGGAAUAUUGGUCAAUGGGCGAGAGCCUGAACCAGCCAAGUCGCGUGAAGGAGGACGGUUUAUGGAUUGUAAACUUCUUUUGUAGAGGAAUAUGUACUCUACGAAUAAGUAUCGGCUAACUCCGUGCCAGCAGCCGCGGUAAUUC